rnacentral:rRNA from 1 species
UACAGAGGUCUCAAGCGUUGUUCGGAUUCAUUGGGCGUAAAGAGCUCGUAGGCGGCUUGUCGCGUCGGCUGUGAAAACCCGCGGCUCAACUGUGGGCGGGCAGCUGAUACGGGCAGGCUGGAGUUCGGUAGGGGAGACUGGAAUUCCUGGUGUAGCGGUGAAAUGCGCAGAUAUCAGGAGGAACACCGGUGGCGAAGGCGGGUCUCUGGGCCGAUACUGACGCUGAGGAGCGAAAGCGUGGGGAGCGAACAGG